rnacentral:rRNA from 1 species
GACGAACGCUGGCGGCGUGCUUAACACAUGCAAGUCGAACGGUAAGGCCCUUCGGGGUACACGAGUGGCGAACGGGUGAGUAACACGUGGGUGAUCUGCCCUGCACUUCGGGAUAAGCCUGGGAAACUGGGUCUAAUACCGGAUAGGACUCCUGGCUUCAUGGUUGGGGGUGGAAAGCUUUUGCGUUGUGGGAUGGGCCCGCGGCCUAUCAGCUUGUUGGUGGGGUAAUGGCCUACCAAGGCGACGACGGGUAGCCGGCCUGAGAGGGUGACCGGUCACACUGGGACUGAGAUACGGCCCAGACCCCUACGGGAGGCAGCAGUGGGGAAUAUUGCACAAUGGGCGCAAGCCUGAUGCAGCGACGCCGCGUGAGGGAUGACGGCCUUCGGGUUGUAAACCUCUUUCAGCUAUGACGAAGCGCAAGUGACGGUAGUAGCAGAAGAAGGACCGGCCAACUACGUGCCAGCCGCCGCAGUAA